rnacentral:rRNA from 1 species
CCAUUCGAUACUGUUAGACUGGAGGGCAGCAGAGGGAGAUGGAAUUCCCGGUGUAGUGGUGAAAUGCGUAGAUAUCGGGAGGAACACCAGUGGCGAAAGCGGUCUCCUGGGCUGUUCCUGACACUGAGGCCCAAAAGCGUGGGGAGCAAACAGGAUUAGAUACCCUGGUAGUCCACGCCUUAAACGAUGGAUACUAGGUAUGGGGGGUAUCGACCCCCUCCGUGCCACAGUUAACACCUUAAGUAUCCCGCCUGGGGAGUACGGUCGCAAGACUAAAACUCAAAGGGAUUGACGGGGGCCCGCACAAGCAGCGGAGCGUGUGGUUUAAUUCGAUGCAACACGAAGAACCUCACCAAGGCUUGACAUACAAGAAGUAGUGAACCGAAAGGGGAACGACCUGUUAAGUCAGGAGCUUGAACAGGUGCUGCAUGGUUGUCGUCAGCUCGUGCCGUGCGGUGUUGGGUUAAGUCCCGCAACGAGCGCAACCCUCGUUGCCAGUUGUUUUCUCUGGCGAGACUGCCCCGCAAGACGGGGAGGAAGGUGGGGAUGACGUCAAAUCAGCACGGCCCUUAUGCCUUGG